rnacentral:lncRNA from 1 species
UGGUUCUUUAAGAAAUACAUAACUUUUUUGAAAAAUCUGAGCUAAUGAGUGGCUGUGUAGAUCACUUCUGUCAACUUGAAAUAGAAACAGAUUAACAUAGCCAUUGAUACUAAAAUAACACACAAAAACAGAAAAUUAAAACACACAAAAACAGAAUCAGAAAAGUUCAAUCAACUAAAGACAAGUUGGCCCCUCUCAAUCUUCCAUUAAGUCCGUCGUCUCUGAGCUCUCUUCUGUGGCCUUCUUCUUUUGUGAGGCAUUAGUCCAUCAAAAAAAUUCCACAAACCAUUUUGGCUUACGAUAUUUAAACAUGAGACUCCACAUGACAGUUCCAACAACUAGUCCAAAACUGUAGCCUAUGACUACUGAUUCCCACGUGAAUCCACUAAAAAAUACGACUCGCCUUCUUCUUCGGACUCCAAUUGUUGAGGAACAUGCGAUGAAUCACUCGUUCCACAUUUCUUUGUUAAAGGA